rnacentral:rRNA from 1 species
AACGAACGUUGGCGGCGUGGAUUAGGCAUGCAAGUCGAACGCGAAAGUCGGGCUUCGGUCCGACCGGUAGAGUGGCGAACGGGUGAGUAACGCGUGGGCAAUCUACCCUCGAGUGGGGAAUAACCAUUCCAACGAGUGGCUAAUUCCGCAUGGUGCCGUUUUGUCGCAUGGCGAAACGGCUAAAGGUGGGGACCCUUCGGGGCCUACCGCUUGAGGAGGAGCCCGCGUCCCAUUAGCUAGUUGGCGGGGUAACGGCCCACCAAGGCGACGAUGGGUAGCCGAUCUGAGAGGAUGACCGGCCACACUGGGACUGAGAUACGGCCCAGACUCCUACGGGAGGCAGCAGUCGAGAGGCUUCGGCAAUGGGGGCAACCCUGACCGAGCGACGCCGCGUGCGGGAUGAAGGCCUUCGGGUUGUAAACCGCUGUCAGAAGGGAAGAAUCCCCCCGGACCAACACUCCGGGGGUUGACGGUACCUUCAAAGGAAGCUCCGGCUAACUCCGUGCCAGCAGCCGCGGUAAUACGGAGGGAGCGAACGUUGUUCGGAUUCACUGGGCGUAAAGGGCGUGUAGGCGGUCUGGCAAGUCAGGGGUGAAAUGCCACGGCUCAACCGUGGAAUUGCCUUUGAAACUGCCGGACUUGAGGCCGUGAGAGGAGACUGGAAUUCCCAGUGUAGCGGUGAAAUGCAUAGAUAUUGGGAAGAACACCAGUGGCGAAGGCGAGUCUCUGGCACGGUUCUGACGCUGAGGCGCGAAAGCUAGGGGAGCAAACGGGAUUAGA